AGUAACCUUCUCUUCAUCAUAAGCAAUCCAGAAGGUUCCUCGAUUGUGCGGAAGACAACUUUCUCUUGCAGGUGAUAGAGGACCCAACAAGGAGAGGUGCCGUGCUUGACCUCGUGCUCACCAAC